rnacentral:lncRNA from 10 species
UGAGGGUCAGAGCCAGCUGCCCUGCUGCCCAGCCCUUGAGGACACAGAGUCACACUCCUCUCCCACCCUCAAGUGCCUCGUGAACCCCUCUCUCCAGGAGGAGGGCAUCAUGACGCACUAGACCUGGCUGCAGGUGUGCAACCAGCGGAAAUGCCCAGCCCCGGGACCAGGGGACUAGGGACAGGAGCCUACCCUGUGCGGCUCUGAGGAGUGGCUGUGAGCACUGCACGCAGGACUGAGAAAGCCCGGGAUAAGCCCGGAGUGCAGGGAAACCCGCAGCCCCCUGGGCAGAUGUGGAGAAGAAUCUGGACAAGCUGACCGAGACCCCGGUACCGGGGGUCUCCGUGUGUGCCUGGCUGCGUGAUCAGCUGGUUUCCUGUUUGCUGUCACCUUCCGAUGAGUCUCCCUCUAAGUGUCAACAUGAAUUUUGAAGAAUCUGCAUUCAAUUCCAUAUCAGCCUGAGUUAAAAACUUUAGAAUGGGGAAUCCACCUCUCGCUUUAUAACCACCUACUUCCUGUCACUCGUCAUUUUCUAAAUAAAUGAGAAGUUCCCUUCAAAGCUUAUAAGCAUCUUCUAAACCCAGAAACAAAUAUAGUUGUUUAUUUUCUUCAUGUUAAGGCUACAGAAACCUGCCCUUUGCAAAGAAAAAUAUAUAUAUAUCCUGCUUAAUGUAGAUUUUUCUUAUAACAAUAACACUAACCUUAAAAAAACAAAAAAACAAAAACAAAAACAAAAAACCUCAUGUUGAAAAAUAGUAUCCUGGCUGG